CAGAGAGAUAUGAAUCUGGACUGAAACUGUGUGGACUCUGUCUACUGUAGCUAAAACACUGUGACUAUGAUGAUUCAUCCCAUGACGAUUUAUUGAAUGUGUCUGUCAUUAUUUAUGAGGCGGCAGGUAGCCUAGUGGUUAGAGUGUAGAGGUGGCAGGGUAGCCUAGUGGUUAGAGUGUAGGGGCGGCAGGGUAGCCUAGUGGUUAGAGUGUAGGGGCGGCAGGUAGCCUAGUGGUUAGAGUGUAGGGGCGGCAGGUAGCCUAGUGGUUAGAGUGGAGGGGCGGCAGGUAGUCUAGUGGUUAGAGUGGAGGGGCGGCAGGUAGUCUAGUGGUUAGAGUGUAGGGGCGGCAGGUAGCCUAGUGGUUAGAGUGUAGGGGCGGCAGGUAGACUAGUGGUUAGAGUGUAGGGGCGGCAGGUAGUCUAGUGGUUAGAGUGUAGGGGCGGCAGGUAGACUAGUGGUUAGAGUGGAGGGGCGGCAGGUAGUCUAGUGGUUAGAGUGUAGGGGCGGCAGGUAGCCUAGUGGUUAGAGUGGAGGGGCGGCAGGUAGUCUAGUGGUUAGAGUGUAGGGGCGGCAGGUAGUCUAGUGGUUAGAGUGUAGGGGCGGCAGGUAGUCUAGUGGUUAGUGUGUAGGGGCGGCAGGUAGUCUAGUGGUUAGAGUGUAGGGGCGGCAGGUAGCCUAGUGGUUAGAGUGUAGGGGCGGCAGGUAGUCUAGUGGUUAGAGUGGAGGGGCGGCAGGUAGUCUAGUGGUUAGAGUGUAGGGGCGGCAGGUAGUCUAGUGGUUAGAGUGUAGGGGCGGCAGGUAGCCUAGUGGUUAGAGUGGAGGGGCGGCAGGUAGUCUAGUGGUUAGAGUGUAGGGGCGGCAGGUAGUCUAGUGGUUAGAGUGUAGGGGCGGCAGGUAGCCUAGUGGUUAGAGUGUAGGGGCGGCAGGUAGCCUAGUGGUUAGAGUGUAGGGGCGGCAGGUAGCCUAGUGGUUAGAGUGUAGGGGCGGCAGGUAGUCUAGUGGUUAGAGUGUAGGGGCGGCAGGUAGCCUAGUGGUUAGAGUGUAGGGGCGGCAGGUAGCCUAGUGGUUAGAGUGUAGGGGCGGCAGGUAGCCUAGUGGUUAGAGUGUAGGGGCGGCAGGUAGCCUAGUGGUUAGAGUGUAGGGGCGGCAGGUAGCCUAGUGGUUAGAGUGUAGGGGCGGCAGGUAGACUAGUGGUUAGAGUGUAGGGGCGGCAGGUAGUCUAGUGGUUAGAGUGUAGGGGCGGCAGGUAGCCUCGUGGUUAGAGUGUAGGGG